rnacentral:rRNA from 1 species
CUGCGUGAAGUCGGAAUCGCUAGUAAUCGCGGAUCAGCAUGCCGCGGUGAAUACGUUCCCGGGCCUUGUACACACCGCCCGUCACACCAUGAGAGUCGGGAACACCCGAAGCCCGUAGCCUAACUUUAACGAGAGGGCGCGGUCGAAGGUGGGUUCGAUAAUUGGGGUGAAGUCGUAACAAGGUACC